GAUGAACGCUGGCGGCGUGCCUAAUACAUGCAAGUCGAGCGAACAGACGAGGAGCUUGCUCCUUUGACGUUAGCGGCGGACGGGUGAGUAACACGUAGGUAACCUACCUAUAAGACUGGGAUAACUUCGGGAAACCGGAGCUAAUACCGGAUAAUAUUUCGAACCGCAUGGUUCGAUAGUGAAAGAUGGCUUUGCUAUCACUUCUCGAUGGACCUGCGCCGUAUUAGCUAGUUGGUAGGGUAACGGCUUACCAAGGCAACGAUACGUAGCCGACCUGAGAGGGUGAUCGGCCACACUGGAACUGAGACACGGUCCAGACUCCUACGGGAGGCAGCAGUAGGGAAUCUUCCGCAAUGGGCGAAAGCCUGACGGAGCAACGCCGCGUGAGUGAUGAAGGUCUUCGGAUCGUAAAACUCUGUUAUUAGGGAAGAACAAACGUGUAAGUAACUGUGCACGUCUUGACGGUACCUAAUCAGAAAGCCACGGCUAACUACGUG
rnacentral:rRNA from 1 species